GGGGAUAUAGUUCAAAUGGCAGAACAUACGCCUUGCAAGUGUAAGAUUCGGGAUCGAUACCCGGUAUCUCCA
rnacentral:tRNA from 1 species